rnacentral:rRNA from 1 species
GCGCGAAAACUUCACAAUGCGCGAAAGCGCGAUGAGGGGAUCCCAAGUGCUUGCACGUAAGUGUAAGCUGUUUUUCUGUCUAAAAAGCAGAGAGAGUAAGGGCUGGGUAAGACGGGUGCCAGCCGCCGCGGUAAUACCUGCAGCUCAAGUGGUGGCCGCUAUUAUUGGGCCUAAAACGUCCGUAGCCGGCUGAGUAAAUGCCUGGGUAAAUCGUGUGGCUUAACCAUACGAAUUCCGGGUAGACUGCUCAGCUUGGGACCGGAAGAAGUUAGAGGUACUCCUGGGGUAGGGGUGAAAUCCUGUAAUCCUGGGGGGACCACCAGUGGCGAAGGCGUCUAACUAGGACGGGUCUGACGGUGAGGGACGAAGCCCUGGGGCGCAAACCGG